ensembl:lncRNA
AGGCAGGAGAAAAUGGAGGACAAAAGAGGGUCCAACAACCACGGCGGACUAGAGGUUUAUCUCUCACCACGACAGACCGGUGAAGGGUUUCUGCCAUCAGAUCCCUCACCACGACGGACUCGAGGUUUCUACCUUCAGAUCCUUCUCUACGGACCGUAUACUGACGGACUUCCCUGGGCCUGCUACCUGAGACCUGCUGCUUCCUCCCAGACUUACUCUGCGGCUUCUUCCUGGACCCACGCGGUACCUGCACCCUCUCGUUGCCCAAGACCGGCCUCGCUGCUCCUGCCCUUCGGCCUCGGACCGUCGGAACGUCGUGCAACGGGACUGCUGCUGGAUCCUGGUGUUAUUAGAAGAAAGUUCAGAAAGCGCUCACAGUUUGGCUUUGAACCAGACUCUACUCUUUGAUUCUUGUGGUCAAUGGACUUUGACUCAUCUCCUGUACUGUGGUUUGUGAGAUCAAAGGUUUCAGUCUCUGGAUUUAUACUCUGAUGUGAAAAUGAGCAGACAUAUCUUUUGAAUGUGCUAUUUCAAGUCUGUAACCGUGAUGCAAGAUUCUACAGUAAGCAGAAGGACCAGGAGUUCUUUUCUGUUUAAAGGUAUCUUUCCUGUAGGAGGAUUCUCAGAUUCUGUUCAGACUGGUGCUCUUUUGCAUAAAAUUUCAACCCUUGUAUUGUGUUGCCCAUAAACUUUUGUCACAGUUCUCUCUUCUCUUUCAAAGAUAAGUGAGUGCAUUCCUGCAACACAGCAGUUAUAGCUGUGUUGUUAAGCAGGACUUCAAGAUAUUAAGCAGGACUUGAAGAUAUUAAACAUGCAUGGUAGAUUAAAAACAAAAAAACAAGCCAUCUACUUGCCUCUUGCUGUCUGCCACGAGUUUGCCUCUAUCUUUUGUGCCCAGUGAACAUGGCUAGCUGUGCAAAAUGAGGGAAAACUUCUGUUUUGAAGUGACUGUGAUUUUGCUCGUUCCGUUACUCAUACUAUGCAUAUAUUUUCCUUCUUAACAAGAACACUUCUGCAAAAAGCAGUAUAUUUGAAACAUUCCACCAUUAACAGCUAUAAUUUCUGUAUUUGUGAUAAAAUAUCAGAGUUAUUCGGUAACCAAGGAUAAUUUGCUUUGUAAUUUAUGUACUUCCAUUUGUAGUGCAUAAUGCAUGCCAUCCCCUACAAUGAAUCAGACCUGUAAAUGUUGCUCACUGCAUUACUACUCCUCACACUACAGGAAUCAAUCUUACUCUUACUGUGUAAGGAAUAAGGAAGGUAGAAAAACGGGCAGAUUAUCUGACUCCCUUCAGAAUACUUAACUAGUGAACGCUGUGCUGGGAAGCUAACUGAUAAAUCCUUAAUCAGGCUGAUUCAUUAGGUUGUUCUGCUAUUUUCCAUAAAGAUAUUUAAUCUCUCUUUUUUUCUUGUGUCCAAAAUGAUAAAUGAUGAGAGCUCAGUGAUGAAAAUAAAAAAAAAAUAUUAACAAGUAAGCAGUAAUUAAAGAAUCAGUUUUUUCAGCUUUUUUUUUUUUUUUUUAAUCUGAAAGUGAAGAAACUGUUAGACAUUUUAGGAAAAAACGUCUGAUGGUCAAAUGGUCCUAAAUUACAAGUCCUUGUAGCAUCAUCAGAUAUCUAGACUGCUGUUUCAAAGCUUUCUAUAUAUAUUUAUUUAAAUUCUGAACGAUAGGCAUUUUUUAGAGGUUAUUAUUCAGGAGUUCAAGACACCUUGCAGUAAAUACUACUGUCUCAGUAUUUUGGUAUAAAUAAUCUGAAUGAAACUUUUAUUCUACUUCUUUCUCAUGAAUGUCCAUGCAAAAGGAACUUGUUGAUAAAAGUGCAGCAAAUUGGGUUGAGUUACAGAACAGUGUUCCAACUUUUCCCAUUAUACCAGUACUGACGUACUCAGAAAUGAGCUUCUCUGGGGAAAAGAGACUGUGUGUUAUCAAGUCACGGUGAAUUAGAAUAACAACUGGUGUUUCAUUGCUCCAUUAAUUAAUAAUUAUUUUGACAUGUCAUAAAAAAAUUAAAUUGCAAUUCAUAUUUCUACAACAUUUGAAAUCCAGACUUAUUUCUUCUUUCAUACUACUAAAAAUAUCUGUGGAAAUUAUUUACUUUCAAAAUAUGUUUCCUGAAAAGAAAAAGUAAAUUAGUAUAAGAAAUAAGU